rnacentral:rRNA from 1 species
UGGGGAAUUUUGCACAAUGGGGGAAACCCUGAUGCAGCGACGCCGCGUGAUUUAGAAGGCCUUCGGGUUGUAAAAAUCUUUUCUAUGGGAAGAAAAUGACAGUACCAUAGGAAUAAGGACCGGCUAAUUACGUGCCAGCAGCCGCGGUAAUACGUAAGGUCCGAGCGUUGUCCGGAAUCAUUGGGCGUAAAGGGUACGUAGGCGGGUAAGCAAGUUAGAAGUGAAAUCCUAUAGCUCAACUAUAGUAAGCUUUUAAAACUGCUCAUCUUGAGGUAUGGAAGGGAAAGUGGAAUUCCUAGUGUAGCGGUGAAAUGCGCAGAUAUUAGGAGGAAUACCGGUGGAGAAGGCGACUUUCUGGCCAUAACCUGACGCUGAGGUACGAAAGCGUGGGUAGCAAACAGG